rnacentral:rRNA from 1 species
CCCUAUGGGGUGCAGCGGGAGAUCCAGACGGCGUUCGUGGUCUCGGGCGAGAGCAGCAGCCAUGAUGCGGCGACGCGCUCGCGGUAUCCGCACGUGCAAGUGAGCAUGGACGCGCGGAAUGAGUAUCUGCAGCAGCGCGGGCUGGAUGCGGUGGCGGAGACGAAGUGGUGGGACGCGCACAAGGAACAGUUGGUGGUGCUGGUGCGGCAUGCCCUGCUGCAUCGGGACCAGUAUGUGCCGAUGGUGAUGUCGCUGUUGAACGCCUGGCGGACGGCGCCGGAAUUGGCGGGAGGGC